rnacentral:rRNA from 1 species
CACCGGCGCCACAAGUGGUCAUCACGAUUAUUGGGCCUAAAGCGUUCGUAGCCGGUCUGGUAAAUCUCUUGUGAAAUUGUGCGGCUUAACCGCACAGCGUGCAGGAGACACUGCCAGGUUCGAGACCGGGAGGGGACAGAAGUAUUCCAUGGGGACCGGUAAAAUGGGAUAAUCCAUGGAGGACUACCGAUGGCGAAGGCAUCUGUCCAGAACGGAUCUGACGAUGAGGAACGAAAGCCAGGGGAGCGAACCGG